UACGAAGGGGGCGAGCGUUGUUCGGAUUUACUGGGCGUAAAGGGCGCGCAGGCGGCGCAUUUUGUCAGGCGUGAAAGCCCCGGGCUUAACCUGGGAACUGCGUUUGAUACGGAUGGGCUAGAGUUCGGGAGAGGAGAGUGGAAUUCCCAGUGUAGAGGUGAAAUUCGUAGAUAUUGGGAAGAACACCGGUGGCGAAGGCGGCGACCUGGUCCGAUACUGACGCUGAGCGCGAAGCGUGGGGAGCAAACAGG
rnacentral:rRNA from 1 species